rnacentral:rRNA from 1 species
UACGGGGGGGGCAAGCGUUGUUCGGAAUUACUGGGCGUAAAGGGCUCGUAGGCGGCCAACUCAGUCGGACGUGAAAUCCCUCGGCUUAACCGGGGAAUGGCGUCCGAUACUGGAUGGCUCGAGUUUGGGAGAGGGAUGCGGAAUUCCAGGUGUAGCGGUGAAAUGCGUAGAUAUCUGGAGGAACACCGGUGGCGAAGGCGGCAUCCUGGACCGGCAUUGACGCUGAGGCGCGAAAGCCAGGGGAGCAAACGGG